GAGCAUUUGUGCGUCAGGAGGAAUAUUUUGUCCCAUUCUUGGUCAGUGAGCUCGACCACUGUCUCCCUUUCCCGUUUCUUUCUGAAUCUCAGUGGGCGUCUGUCUCCGCUAAUUAAGAGGGCGUUGUAGAGGGUCGAUACUCCAUGUACAACAUGUUGUCUACAUGUGCAUAGGUUUUUAAAGUACUUCAAGGUCCUGUGGAGAUGGUCUCUGCCUCAAAUGGAUGUGUAGUAUGUCUUAAC